GGACUACAGGGGUUUCUAAUCCGUUUUGCUCCCCACGCUUUCAUGCCUCAAUGUCAGUAACAGAAUAGUUAACUGCCUUCGCUAUAUUGAUGUUCUUUUAUAUAUCUACGCAUUUUACCGCUCCACAUAAAGUUCCGUUAACCUCUCCUGUACUCAAGUUAAGCAGUAUUACCGACUUCCACGAGGUUGAGCCUCGAUUUCCCACCAAUAACUUGCUAAACCAUCUACGCAUCCUUUACGCCCAAUAAUUCCGGAUAACGUUCGCGACCUAUGUCUUACCGCGGCUGCUGGCAC
rnacentral:rRNA from 1 species